rnacentral:rRNA from 1 species
UACGAAGGGGGCUAGCGUUGCUCGGAAUUACUGGGCGUAAAGGGUGCGUAGGCGGGUCUUUAAGUCAGAGGUGAAAUCCUGGAGCUCAACUCCAGAACUGCCUUUGAUACUGAGGAUCUUGAGUUCGGGAGAGGUGAGUGGAACUGCGAGUGUAGAGGUGAAAUUCGUAGAGAUCAGGUGGAACACCGGAGGCGAAGGCGCCUGCCUGGCAGUAUAUUGACGCUGAGGUGCGAAAGUGCGGGGAGCAAACAGG